GAUGAACGCUGGCGGCGUGCCUAAUACAUGCAAGUCGAGCGAACAGACGAGGAGCUUGCUCCUCUGACGUUAGCGGCGGACGGGUGAGUAACACGUGGAUGACCUACCUAUAAGACUGGGAUAACUUCGGGAAACCGGAGCUAAUACCGGAUAAUAUAUUGAACCGCAUGGUUCAAUAGUGAAAGACGGUUUUGCUGUCACUUAUAGAUGGAUCCGCGCCGCAUUAGCUAGUUGGUAAGGUAACGGCUUACCAAGGCAACGAUGCGUAGCCGACCUGAGAGGGUGAUCGGCCACACUGGAACUGAGACACGGUCCAGACUCCUACGGGAGGCAGCAGUAGGGAAUCUUACGCAAUGGGCGAAAGCCUGACGGAGCAACGCCGCGUGAGUGAUGAAGGUCUUCGGAUCGUAAAACUCUGUUAUUAGGGAAGAACAAAUGUGUAAGUAACUAUGCACGUCUUGACGGUACCUAAUCAGAAAGCCACGGCUAACUACGUG
rnacentral:rRNA from 1 species